rnacentral:rRNA from 1 species
UACGAAGGGGGCGAGCGUUGUUCGGAAUUACUGGGCGUAAAGGGCGCGUAGGCGGCGAUCCUAGUCAGAUGUGAAAGUCCUGGGCUUAACCUGGGGACUGCAUUUGAUACUGGAUUGCUUGAAUGCAGGAGAGGAUAGCGGAAUUCCCAGUGUAGAGGUGAAAUUCGUAGAUAUUGGGAAGAACACCGGUGGCGAAGGCGGCGAGCUGGUCCAUUACUGACGCUGAGGCGCGACAGCGUGGGGAGCAAACAGG